UACCCAUCAGAGGGGGAUAACACUUGGAAACAGGUGCUAAUACCGCAUAACAGUUUAUGCCGCAUGGCAUAAGAGUGAAAGGCGCUUUCGGGUGUCGCUGAUGGAUGGACCCGCGGUGCAUUAGCUAGUUGGUGAGGUAACGGCUCACCAAGGCCACGAUGCAUAGCCGACCUGAGAGGGUGAUCGGCCACACUGGGACUGAGACACGGCCCAG
rnacentral:rRNA from 1 species